GCUCAGGAUGAACGCUAGCUACAGGCUUAACACAUGCAAGUCGAGGGGUAGCAGGGUAGCAAUACCGCUGACGACCGGCGCACGGGUGAGUAACACGUAUCCAACCUUCCCAUUACUCGGGGAUAGCCUUUCGAAAGAAAGAUUAAUACCCGAUAGUACUUUUUCGAGGCAUCUCGUAAAAAGUUAAAGAUUUAUUGGUAAUGGAUGGGGAUGCGUUCCAUUAGAUUGUUGGUGAGGUAACGGCUCACCAAGUCUUCGAUGGAUAGGGGUUCUGAGAGGAAGGUCCCCCACAUUGGUACUGAGACACGGACCAAACUCCUACGGGAGGCAGCAGUGAGGAAUAUUGGUCAAUGGGCGAGAGCCUGAACCAGCCAAGUA
rnacentral:rRNA from 1 species